rnacentral:rRNA from 1 species
UACGUAGGGCGCAAGCGUUGUCCGGAAUUAUUGGGCGUAAAGAGCUUGUAGGCGGUUUUGUCGCGUCUGCUGUGAAAUUUCGGGGCUCAACCCCCGAACUUGCAGUGGGUACGGGCAGACUAGAGUGUGGUAGGGGAGACUGGAAUUCCUGGUGUAGCGGUGAAAUGCGCAGAUAUCAGGAGGAACACCGAUGGCGAAGGCAGGUCUCUGGGCCAUAACUGACGCUGAGAAGCGAAAGCAUGGGGGAGCGAACAGG